UACGGAGGGUGCAAGCGUUAUCCGGAUUCACUGGGUUUAAAGGGUGCGUAGGUGGGCAGGUAAGUCAGUGGUGAAAUCUCCGGGCUUAACCCGGAAACUGCCGUUGAUACUAUCUGUCUUGAAUAUAGUGGAGGUGAGCGGAAUAUGUCAUGUAGCGGUGAAAUGCUUAGAUAUGACAUAGAACACCCAUUGCGAAGGCAGCUCGCUACACUAUCAUUGACACUGAGGCACGAAAGCGUGGGGAUCAAACAGG
rnacentral:ncRNA from 2 species